rnacentral:rRNA from 1 species
AUUGAACGCUGGCGGCAGGCUUAACACAUGCAAGUCGAACGAACCCUUCGGGGUUAGUGGCGGACGGGUGAGUAACACGUGGGAACGUGCCUUUAGGUUCGGAAUAACUCAGGGAAACUUGUGCUAAUACCGAAUGUGCCCUUCGGGGGAAAGAUUUAUCGCCUUUAGAGCGGCCCGCGUCUGAUUAGCUAGUUGGUGAGGUAAUGGCUCACCAAGGCUACGAUCAGUAGCUGGUCUGAGAGGAUGACCAGCCACAUUGGGACUGAGACACGGCCCAAACUCCUACGGGAGGCAGCAGUGGGGAAUCUUGCGCAAUGGGCGAAAGCCUGACGCAGCCAUGCUGCGUGGAUGAUGAAGGUCUUAGGAUUGUAAAAUCCUUUCACCGGUGAAGAUAAUGACUGUAGCCGGAGAAGAAGCCCCGGCUAACUUCGUGCCAGCAGCCGCCGUAAAAC